AUGAAGCAUGUUGGUACCCUCCAUGUAGAGCACCCUUGUUUCCCAGGAGAGAUGGGCUCAGGUUGCCUUCAAGGAUGGCUCCAGGUUCUCCCCACCACCUGCAGACCAUGAUCCAGCUCCUUGCUCCCCACAGUGAAGUUCUUUUUGCUGCACAAACUCUUCCUCGGGGUGAAAUAUUUCUUCUGCCUUGGAGGAACUUCAUGCAUGGAGCCCCAGAGAUUGAGCUGAGGGAAGAGGCUCUGUGCCCCUCGGACCACCCUGCCAGAGACGAGAGGUCCCAGCAAGGCUUCAAGCACAGCACAGAGCGCCGGGAGCCAGCGCUGCUGCUGGAGACAUCUGCCCCUCCUCAGACCAUCUUCCACCUGUGGGCUCACAAAGCGCCAAAGCCUGCGACCUGUCACCGGGGCUGAGUUUCUCUCCCACGGGAGGGGGCUCAGCCAUCUUCCUCCCCCCUUUGUUCAGCUGCUGGCAGCCGUGGCUGGGAGAGCAGCGGCACAGAAAUGACUGAUGGAGGGGAGGGAGGCGAUGCCGGACACUGGCACGGUCGGGGACGGAGCGGAGGAGCUUUGAAGCAUCAUUCUUCCCGCUGGCAGCUCGACUGAAGCUCUUCUGCUCCCAGUGCCUCGCUUUCAUGCCCCUUGCCCAAAGUGAACCUGGGGUUAACCCUUUCCCCACCCCCCAGCAGCACCCCGACGGCGGCUGUCGAAUCCAUCUCCAGAACCCUCCCGAGUUGUUUUGGGGGGGGGGUUGGGCUCAGUUUUUGUUCUGGCUUGGUGGGGUUUUUUUUUCUUGCUCUCCAGACAUUUGCUGCCUUCUCCUGUAUUAAUGGAGGCAUCUUCCAUCAUCAGAACGCCUCCGGGGCAGAGGCAAAUGGCAUCGAUAGCUCCGCAGCCUGUCAGGAGCACACAUGCCUGCUGGAAAGCACUGGGAGGAGGGACAGCCGCGACACGGGGAGCAGAUGGGGCCAGUCCUUCCAUCACCCCUUGCCAGCAGCAGCCUGGACCAGUUGGUGCCUCUGUUCAGAUGGGGCUUUCCCCACCCUCGCCUUGUGCUGCUGGCUCUGACCCUCCGGCGCUGUGUCCUCCCGGCAGCUCCUCUCUGGUUUGCCUUUUUCUCCCGGAACAUCUCCCAGCUGCAGCCCUUCUCACCCAGUUUGGUGCCCAGCUGGCUGCCUUUUGCUCCAUCUCCCCGCUUUGCUCAUCAGUGUUUCGCGUGGGAGCUCAGCUUCGGG